UGUAGUUGUCAGGGGUCAAAUAUGCAGCCUUUAGUAUAUCGUGGUAUUCUAUAAUUAGUUAUGAUAUAAAUAAUAUUCAUUUACGCACCAUAAAUACAGCUGUAUUGGUUCUUUUUGGGUUUUGUAUGCUCUGUUCUGGGAAAAAAUGGUUAAGGAAAUUUGUUUGCUAAUUUUGCUUCUCCAUUGUCAUAACUUUAUUUUUCUUGUUCUUUAUCUCUGAUAUAGCAAAGGAAGAGUCAUUCUCUUACUCUUUUUUAUCAAUAAGCAGUUCCUACUAGUAGCUCGUUUUCCUGGCUCAGAGAAAAAGAAUACAGUGGCAGGAAUAGGAUUGUUCUUGCACAAAAUUCUAUUUGGUUUUUGUCCAUUUGAGAACAAAUAUAUCCUGGAGAAAAUUGAAGAAAUUCGAAGUCAAAGACCAGAAACUCUUGCAGAAACUUCACCUAAUGAUGCGCUUGGUGUAGUCUUUGGUCCCGAGCACCCUGGCCAUGUUCGAGGGUUAGGCUUGGGUGUAGUUCCAACUAUGGCAUUCAAGCAAACAUCAAGGCGAGUUGGUAGUUUCGGUAUGAAUUCAUCUAGUGCUAGCGCUCUACCUCUACAAUGGCAGCAAGAGAUGUCAGGAUAUGAGAUCACAAUUAAGUGCGCUAACAAGCUUAUAUCGAAUGAAUAUCGGGAAUAACCCUGAGGAGUUUGUUCAUUUAUUUCCAACUCCUCCACAGGCACACAAUUUAGGAAACGGCGCUCCGUCACCAAUUAGGCCGAGAAGAUCUUUUGAUGGAAGUAACUAAUGGGGUCCAUCUCAUUCAAAAGCCAAAGUAAUAGGCAUGUGCCUAAGGAAAAUAUUUGGAUGAGAAUUUCUUUGGUUUGAUAGCCAACUUUGUUGAAUU